UCUUUCCUUUUUUCCUGUCAAUUAAGAAAUCAAACUAAAGCCUUAAGAGAAAACAUGAAGUAGCAGCUCGAGUAUUAGUACUCCAUUUCUUCUCCUUCUUUUGGUAUCCAAGAAAUCACUAGAAGAGGAAGGGAGGAAAGGAUUUUUAUGAUAAUUUUGAAAUAAUCUUUAAGAGGUGACUUCAAUAACCUAAAGUUGGAAUUGAAAUUCAAGAGUUAGAAGGUUGUCUAUCAGAUAUCUUAAACUGGUGAUUGGAAGGAUAAAGGUUCGGAACACUACCGUAGCUAGUAAUGCAUUAAGGCUCAGAUCCCCAGGAUAGCAGACAUCCACAUUAGGCCCUAUUGCCAUUUUUAGAUGAUAUUUUGGUAAGCUCUAACUCUCUCUGGAUCCAGUCCAUGUCUAGCAUUUUUUGUUAUAUGUACAGGUCUCUAGUUGGGUAUGACGCGUGCUAUGCCAACUAGCCACUUGUAGUAUAGCGUGUAAGCUGACUAGAGGUUUCAUGGACAUCAUGUCGUAUUAUAUUUUACAAGUUUGUUAAUGCAAUUCCCUCGUGUACAAAUACGACUCAUGUUGGAUACCCCGCUCGUUAUUAUCUCAUGAUGUCGUUUAUAUCGCAUAGUG